rnacentral:misc_RNA from 1 species
UCCGUCUUGACGACGGCAGUCUCGCUAGAGUACUGGCUUGCGCCGAGCAACUAACGACAGGGGUUGCGCUCGUUAAGGGACUUAACCCGACACUUCACAGCACGAGCUGACGACAGCCAUGCAGCACCUGUGCAUGUUCCGGUCUUGCGACUGUGGCUCCGCUUUCACGGAGUUGAUCCAUGCAUGUCAAACCCAGGUAAGGUUCUUCGCGUUGCCUCGAAUUAAGCAACAUGCUCCACCGCUUGUGUGAGCCCCCGUCAAUUCAUUUGAGUUUUAGCCUUGCGACCGUACUCCCCAGGCGGUACACUUAUCGUUUUUACUACGACCGAUACGGCGUCAAAACCGCACCGGUCCAGUGUACAUCGUUUACGGCGUGGACUAC